AUUUUUCAAAAUAGUAUAAUUGAUUUCGGCCCACUCAGCCUGAAGUCAAUAACGAAAAAAAAAGAAAAAUAAAAUAAAUAUUACAUACUUCCAACUUUUAUACCAUUUAUUUUUGACCAAACAAAUAAUAGAUGUAAAAAAAUUUCAACUCCACGGCUAUAUAUACAAACAAAUAACGAAAGAAAAGUUAUUUUUAUCUGAACUUUGG
rnacentral:lncRNA from 1 species